rnacentral:rRNA from 1 species
CCAAUAGCGUAUAUUAAAGUUGUUGCAGUUAAAAAGCUCGUAGUUGAAUUUCGGGGUUUAUCCGUUGGUCGGGCUUUUGGGUCUGUACUGGCGUGAUGGAUUCCUACCUUCUGAAUAACCAGCAUGCCAUUAAUUUGGUGCGUUGGGGAAGCAGGACUGUUACCUUGAAAAAAUUAGAGUGCUUAAAGCAGGCUAUUGCCUGAAUACAUUAGCAUGGAAUAAUGAAAUAGGACGCAUGGUUCUAUUUUGUUGGUUUCUAGGAUCACCGUAAUGAUUAAUAGGGAUAGUUGGGGGCAUUAGUAUUCAAUUGUCAGAGGUGAAAUUCUUGGAUUUAUUGAAGACUAACUUCUGCGAAAGCAUUUGCCAAGGAUGUUUUCAUUAAUCAAGAACGAAAGUUAAGGGAUCGAAGACGAUCAGAUACCGUCGUAGUCUUAACCAUAAACUAUGCCGACUAGGGAUCGGACGAUGUUAAUUUUUUAAUGACUCGUUCGGCGCCUUACG